rnacentral:rRNA from 1 species
GCGGCCUAUCAGCUUGUUGGUGAGGUAAUGGCUCACCAAGGCGACGACGGGUAGCCGGCCUGAGAGGGUGGACGGCCACACUGGGACUGAGACACGGCCCAGACUCCUACGGGAGGCAGCAGUGGGGAAUAUUGCGCAAUGGACGAAAGUCUGACGCAGCGACGCCUCGUGAGGGACGAAGGUCUUCGGAUUGUAAACCUCUUUCAGCAGGGACGAAGCGAAAGUGACGGUACCUGCAGAAGAAGCACCGGCUAACUAUGUGCCAGCAGCCGCGGUAAUACAUAGGGUGCAAGCGUUGUCCGGAUUUAUUGGGCGUAAAGAGUUCGUAGGCGGUUUUUCGCGUCGGAUGUGAAAACUCAGGGCUCAACCCUGAGCCUGCAUUCGAUACGGGAAGACUCGAGGACGGCAGGGGAGACUGGAAUUCCU